UACGUAGGGUGCGAGCGUUUGUCCGGAAUUAUUGGGCGUAAAGAGCUCGUAGGCGGUGUGUCGCGUCGGUCGUGAAAACUCGGGGCUUAACCCCGAGCCUGCAGUGGAUACGGGCAGACUAGAGGUAGGUAGGGGAGAAUGGAAUUCCCGGUGUAGCGGUGAAAUGCGCAGAUAUCGGGAGGAACACCGGUGGCGAAGGCGGUUCUCUGGGCCUUACCUGACGCUGAGGAGCGAAAGCGUGGGGAGCGAACAGG
rnacentral:rRNA from 1 species